UGACUGAUUAAGAAAAUCACUGCUGAGAAGG
rnacentral:piRNA from 1 species